rnacentral:rRNA from 1 species
UACGUAGGGGGCUAGCGUUGUCCGGAAUCAUUGGGCGUAAAGCGCGUGUAGGCGGUUCGGUAAGUCCGCUGUGAAAGUCGGGGGCUCAACCCUCGAAUGCCGGUGGAUACUGUCGGACUAGAGUACGGAAGAGGCGAGUGGAAUUCCCGGUGUAGCGGUGAAAUGCGCAGAUAUCGGGGAGACAUCAUGCGAAGGCAGCUCGCUGGGACGUCACUGACGCUGAGACGCGAAAGCGUGGGGAGCAAACAGG